CCUACGGGUGGCAGCAGUGGGGAAUAUUGCGCAAUGGGCGAAAGCCUGACGCAGCGACGCCGCGUGAGGGAUGAAGGUCUUCGGAUCGUAAACCUCUGUCAGCGGGGAAGAACGGUCACUGUGCUAAUCAGCAGUGAAUUGACGGUACCUGCAAAGGAAGCACCGGCUAACUCCGUGCCAGCCGCCGCGGUAAUACGGAGGGUGCGAGCGUUAAUCGGAAUUACUGGGCGUAAAGCGCUCGUAGGCGGUAUGGCAAGUCAAGGGUGAAAUCCCCGCGCUCAACGUGGGAACUGCCUUUGAAACUGGCAAACUGGAGUGUGUGCGAGGAUAGUGGAAUUCCAGGUGUAGGAGUGAAAUCCGGAGAUAUCAGGAGGAACAUCAGUGGCGAAGGCGACUAUCUGGCACAUAACUGACGCUGAGGAGCGAAAGCGUGGGUAGCAAACAGGAUUAGAUACCCCGGUAGUC
rnacentral:rRNA from 1 species